UCCGGUGACGAUAGCAACGAGGUCCCACCUGUUCCCAUACCGAACACAGAAGUUAAGCUCGUUUACGCCAGAAGUACUUGCCUUUUAAGGCUGGGAGAUAAGGUAGUUGCCGGAU
rnacentral:rRNA from 1 species